rnacentral:ncRNA from 1 species
UAAAAGGCUAUGAAAAAGACAAGUAGAUAGUUUAUUUCUAACAGUGAGUUGGUGCUAGUGAAAAGCCAAUAGACCCUGAACUAUUGAAAAACACUUUUAGCAGCUUACCGAAAUAACAAUUCUUAGAGUAGGUUGAGACGUCUCCGGUACGUUACCACACCGGUGAAGCAUGAUAGUGCUUCAUGAGUAGGUCUAUAUCUAAUAGGCAAUGUGGGUGGUACCGCGGAAAGAAGUCUUUCGUCCCAGUU